AUUGAACGCUGGCGGCAGGCCUAACACAUGCAAGUCGAACGAGUGGCGGACGGGUGAGUAAUGUAUGGGAAACUGCCUGAUGGAGGGGGAUAACUACUGGAAACGGUAGCUAAUACCGCAUACCAUCGGAUGUGCCCAGAUGGGAUUAGCUAGUAGGUGGGGGAAAGGCUCACCUAGGCGACGAUCCCUAGCUGGUCUGAGAGGAUGACCAGCUACACGGGCAAUGAGACACGGGCCAGAGUCCUACGGGAGGAAGCAGUGGGGAAUAGUGCACAAUGGGCGCAAGCCUGAUGCAGCCAUGCCGCGUGUAUGAGGAAGGACUUCUGGUUGUAAAGUACUGUCAGCGGGGAAGCGUUACCCGCAGAAGAAGCACCGGCUAACGCCGUGCCAGCAGCCGCGGUAAUAA
rnacentral:rRNA from 1 species